rnacentral:rRNA from 1 species
UACGUAGGGCGCAAGCGUUGUCCGGAAUUAUUGGGCGUAAAGAGCUCGUAGGUGGCUUGUUGCGUCUGCCGUGAAAGCCCGUGGCUUAACUACGGGUCUGCGGUGGAUACGGGCAGGCUAGAGGCUGGUAGGGGCAAGCGGAAUUCCUGGUGUAGCGGUCAAAUGCGCAGAUAUCAGGAGGAACACCGGUGGCGAAGGCGGCUUGCUGGGCCAGUUCUGACGCUGAGGAGCGAAAGCGUGGGGAGCGAACAGG